rnacentral:sRNA from 1 species
UUACAGCGGGAGGGUAUCCUGGACUGUAUUUCCCCUGCAUGGUCAGCAGCGCACCUCCAUUGAGUCUGCAUGUGUUUAAUCUGAUGGCUCUGUUGGCUGGCCUCUGUUAUAGGUUAUAAGUAUAGCUGCCUGUGCUUCCACCACGAGCACUUGGGGUGUCUUGUGGCAAGACUGAGCUAGCUCUGAAGCUGACUCCCUCUUCUCACUCCCUGCCUUUUCUCCCUUACUUUUUGCAGAAAAGGUGUGAGCGGUACUGGGCCCAGGAGCAGGAGCCACUGCAGACCGGGCUUUUCUGCAUCACUCUGAUAAAGGAGAAGUGGCUGAAUGAGGACAUCAUGCUCAGGACCCUCAAGGUCACAUUCCAGAAGGAGUCCCGUUCUGUGUACCAGCUACAGUAUAUGUCCUGGCCAGACCGUGGGGUCCCCAGCAGUCCUGACCACAUGCUUGCCAUGGUGGAGGAAGCCCGUCGCCUCCAGGGAUCUGGCCCUGAACCCCUCUGUGUCCACUGCAGUGCGGGCUGUGGGCGAACAGGCGUCCUGUGCACCGUGGAUU